AUACGUAGGGGGCGAGCGUUGUCCGAAGUUACUGGGCGUAAAGCGCGCGUAGGCGGCUCUUUAAGUGAUUGGUGAAAUCCCCGGGCUCAACCCGGGGUGGUCUGGUCAUACUGGGGAGCUAGAGUAUGGGAGGGGAGAGCGGAACUCCUGGUGUAGCGGUGAUAUGCGUAGAGAUCAGGAAGAACACCCGUGGCGAAGGCGGCUCUCUGGACCAUAACUGACGCUGAGGUGCGAAAGCCAGGGCAGCGAACGUGAUUAGAUACCCCGGUAGUCCUGGCCCUAAACGAUGGAUACUAGGUGUGGCGGGUAUCGACCCCUGCCGCGCCGCAGCUAACGCAAUAAGUAUCCCGCCUGGGGAGUACGGCCGCAAGGUUGAA
rnacentral:rRNA from 1 species